CCUCGCCUCCUCCGAAGCUGGGAACUCGGAGAGGAAAAUGGCCGCUGUGGAUUCAGAGCUGCGCGAGCCAGUCAUGGAAGAUGGUGACACAUCUGUGAGGAGCAUUGAUGAAAAUGGUGAAGUCUCAGCAGAAGAGCAGCCUCAGAUCAAGCACAAUAAACACAAGAAAAAGAAACACAAGCAUCGGAGUAAACAUAAAAAACACAAACAUGUUGCUGAAGAGGACAAAGAUAAAAAACACAAGCAUAAACAUAAGCAUAAGAAGCAUAAACGGAAAGAUGAUGAUGACAAAGAUGACAUUACACACUUAAAGAGGGCAAAGCUGGAUGACUUUGCAUUGUUGGAAGAUCUUGAAAAGCAAAGAGCCUUGAUUAAAGCAGAGCUUGAUAAUGAGUUAAUGGAGGGUAAAGUCCAUUCUGGCAUGGGCUUGAUAUUGCAGGGGUACAAUUCAGGGUCAGAAGAAGAAGGGGAGAUUAACGAAAAAAUUCGCAAUGGCAAAAGAGCCUCCACCAAAUCAAAUAUAAGAGCAAAACAGGAGUUUUACUCUAAAAAUACUUCUAAAAGGAGGUCUAGGAGCAAGUCCAAAGAAAAGACCAAGCACAAGACAGAAAAGAAAAAACCUAAAGCCAACUCUGAAGCUGUUAAAGAAAAACCACCUAGAAGUGGGUCCAAGGAACGAAAGAAAUCUAAAAGUCCAUCCAAAAGGAAUCGAUUGCAAGAGCAGCUGAAAAAGUCACCAGCAUUGCGGAGGCAAUCCCCAGAAAAAAAUAUAAGGUCUAAGUCUCCCCCUGAGGAUAGAGUAAAACCAAGAGAUAGGAAGAAAUCACCUGUAGCUACUGAAAACAGAACAAAAGAUCGUAGUAGGAAGUCUAAAUCUCCAUUGCCAUGGGGAAGCAAAUCCAAAGAAAGGAGGUCAAGGUCAAAAGAGUACAAACCCAGAAGGUCCGACUUGGAGAAGGAAAAGAAGCCCCUUCCCAAGUCACCUUCAAAAGAUGCCUCUUCUGGCAAAGAAAACCGCUCACCAGGUGUUCGCCCACCCCCCAGCCAAGAGGAAAGAAGUCUAACUCCCAAUCAGCGUGAAUGUAAUUUUAAGCAAGGCAAAUCCCCACCUCCUUAUGAUAGGAAAAUGAAACCAUCUCCCCCUCGAACACAGUCCUCCCCGAGGAGAGCAAAGAGCAAAUCUAUAGAAAGGAAAAGAUGGGAACCUGAGAGAAGACGUAUGUCUUCACCUAGGUUGCGACCUAGAGAUGAAGGGCCUAUAAGACAUGAUAGAGCAAAAGAAAUGAGUCCUCCUCGAUGGUCUCCUUCUAGAAGACGUGCAAGUAGAUCACCUCUAAGAAGAAGAUCACGGUCACCUCUUAGGCGUAGUAGAUCUCCACGUAGAUGGAGCAGAUCUCCUCACAGGAGAGAUCGAUUCAGAAGAAGUAGAUCACGUCUCAGAUGGAGAUCACACUCCCGUGGUGGCCGAAAUCGCAGAAGGAGAAGUAGGAGUAAAGACAAAGAAGAUAAGUUUAAAGGAAGCCUUUCUGAGGGAAUGAAGAUUGAACAAGAAUCAUCUGAUGAGAAUUUAGAGGAUUAUGAUGUUGAAGAAGAAGAUGAAGAAGCCCUUAUUGAGCAAAGGCGACAGCAAAGGCUGGCAAUUGUAGAGAAAUACAAAUAUGUAAAUGAAGACAGCAAUUUGUCAGGGAACUCGGAGCCAAGCAGUCCCCAGAGUAGUGCUCGCAGUCGUUCUGCUUCACCAGAUGACAUUCUCGAGCGUGUUGCAGCUGAUGUUAAAGAAUAUGAAAGGGAGAAUCUUGAUAACUUUGAAGCUUAUGUCAAAGCAAAACACAACUUAAUGACGGAACAAAAUAAUGGAAAUCCGCAAAAGAAAAUAACCGCUCCUGACAUGUUUACAGAAUCUGAUGACAUGUUUGCUGCAUACUUUGAUAGUGCUCGUUUUAGAGCUGCUGGUAUCGGAAAAGAUUUUAAGGAAAAUCCCAAUUUGAGAGAUAAUUGGACAGAUGCAGAAGGCUACUAUCGUGUAAACAUAGGUGAAAUAUUGGAGAAGCGGUAUAAUGUCUAUGGCUAUACGGGUCAGGGAGUCUUCAGUAACGUUGUGCGUGCUCGAGAUAUGGCAAGAGCUAAUCAGGAAGUUGCUGUCAAAAUCAUCAGAAACAAUGAAUUAAUGCAAAAAACUGGCUUGAAAGAAUUGGAGUUUUUGAAGAAGUUGAACGAUGCCGAUCCAGAUGACAAGUUUCAUUGUUUGCGGUUGUUCCGACACUUUUAUCAUAAACAGCACUUGUGUCUUGUAUUUGAACCACUCAGUAUGAACCUGCGGGAGGUUUUGAAGAAGUAUGGCAAAGAUGUUGGUCUGCAUAUCAAAGCUGUGAGGUCGUACAGCCAGCAACUAUUUUUAGCUUUAAAGCUUCUGAAACGAUGCAAUAUCCUGCAUGCUGACAUCAAACCGGAUAACAUUCUGGUAAAUGAAUCCAAAACCAUCCUCAAGCUCUGUGACUUUGGGUCAGCAUCUCAUGUGGCAGAUAAUGACAUUACCCCAUACCUUGUCAGUAGAUUUUACAGAGCUCCUGAGAUCAUAAUUGGGAAGAUAUAUGAUUAUGGAAUAGACAUGUGGUCAGUUGGCUGCACGUUGUAUGAACUCUACACUGGAAAAAUAUUAUUCCCUGGAAAAACCAAUAACCACAUGGUAAAAUUAGCCAUGGACCUAAAAGGAAAAAUGCCAAACAAGAUGAUCCGGAAAGGUGUCUUUAAGGACCAGCACUUCGAUGCAAAUCUUAACUUUAUGUAUAUUGAAGUUGACAAAGUUACAGAAAGAGAAAAAGUUACAGUCAUGAGCACUAUUAACCCAACAAAGGACUUGUUGGUUGAUUUAAUUGGAUGCCAGAGACUUCCAGAAGACCAACGUAAAAAAGUGCACCAGCUAAAAGACUUGUUGGAUCAGAUCCUAAUGCUCGAUCCGGCGAAACGAAUAAGCAUCAAUCAAGCACUUCAACACCCUUUUAUCCAGGAAAAGAUCUAAAUGUGGGAAACUAUUUGAUAAGAUCACACACCAGGAUUGAAGACCACCUACAGCAGCCUGUUAAUGUAUAUAAACAUAUAAAUAUUUCCCUUGCAAAGUUGAGGAAGCAUAAAUUGUUUGAUUCAAAGUCAAGAGUUUAUUUUACCUUUUAUUUUGUUUAUAAUUGUGAUAUCUGUACUUUUCCACGGUAGGAAUGCUUGUAAAUUGGCUGAACUGUACUCAAGAGUACAAAUGCAAUUUCCUUUGAUUAUUAUAUUUGGGGAAACAAAGUUGCAAUUUAAUGUUUGGAUGUUAAUAUUUUAUUUUUAGCGGACAUGGCUCUUUUUCUUUUUUUUUUUUUUUGGUUUGAGAAAAGACGAGCAUAAAUGCUGUUUAUAUUCACGUUUUCCUAGGUUGUGUGCGCAGGCCUCAGCAGCAUGCUCUUGGUCUAUUCUGUGCCGAAGGGGGGGCCUGUUCCUUCUAGAGCCUGCCUGCAGAGAUGGUCUCCUCUUUUAAAGCAGGUUGUGUACAACUUACAGUACACUGAAGGAAUAAACUCUCCACUCUUGAACAAAAAAUCAGCUGCUUUUUAUAAGCGGUAAUUGCUUCUUUACCUUUUUUUUUUUUUCCUCUUGUAAAUGAAUCUUUUUGUUAAGCCUUCAAAUGUUCUUUUUGCAUAAACAUUUGACUCACUUAUUGUAAAGUGAAGGUUGUUCUGCUGCAUGUACAGUGACCCAUGCAGAUAUCUGUAUGUUUUCAGUAUGCAUCAUUAGAUAAUAAAGUCUUUUGUGAAAAAGGUAUCUGUAGCCAUUUGUAAGAUGUCUAUUUUGAUUCAUAACUGAUCAAAUGGAAAUGCCACUAAUGAUUGAAAAGUCCAUUGAGUUUCAGUAAGUAGAAUGUAUGCUGUCUUUGGAGACAUAGGUCACCUUUGAAUAGUUUCCAACGAUUCUCACCUUUUUAUGAUACCAAAUAAAUUUUUAAUUCUCAUACUCUCAA